rnacentral:lncRNA from 1 species
GGCGAUAAAGCUGCCGGAGUCCGCGGCGGCGGAGGCGGCUGCGGCGAGCAAGGAGGCUGACGACGCACAAUGCAAAGACGGCUUUUCAGAGCAGCCAGUGGGGCAGGACAAUGUUUUUCAUCAAAUGUCCUUAGAUUUGGAGGAGGUUUCCCCAGUGUAUCCAGUGGUUGUCUUCCUCUUGAUUAAUAUUAAAGGAGGAGAAAAAGUGUGUAUUGGGGUCAGUGCAGAAAACAAAUCAUCCAAGCACACGAAGUGGAAUUUGCUAAUAGCAUUACUACUCACCCAGUGACUUCGGAGUCACAACCCAGGACACGGUUUUCCGCCCAUUUCUACAGACACAGUGAGAUUCUUCAUUCUUCUCUGUUGGAACAGCCAGGAAAGCGGAAGAGACCUCCAGCUGCACAACGACCUGUCCCCCACACCCAACCACAAGUUUAUGAAGGGAUGCAGAACAGCAUGAAUACUGCAAAAGAUGCUCUGUGCAUCAGAACGUCCAGAAGAGAGAGAUUUAAAUUGCUUUCAGCUAAGCUGUAGACCUCUAGCAGAUGAACGACAUAUUUUCCUGAAGGACUUGCUUCGGUGUGGAAGUGAUUCCGCUGUGAGUUGUGUCUUUUGCGUUGUUGCACUCUUCAUCAUAUUCAUCCGCAGGACCUCCAGCUCUAAAGGGUGUGAAGAGGAUACUGACCCACCAGAAAGAGACCCCACUGCUAGAACGAAUAAGAUGUGCUGAAAGCCGGAGCAUAACUUGGCCAUUCCCAAGAUUUAACAACAAACUAACUACCCAUCAUUAACAGUAAAGAAAGAAAACAAUCAGUAAGAGAUUAUAUAGACCUAAGAGAUGUUACAGACCGAAGAAGAACCUAUGGAGGAAGACAGGAAGAUGAGAGAGAUUUGAAGAUGGUAUGUGGCUGAAUUUGAAGAUAGAGAAAGGAACCGCAAGCAAAGAAUGCAAGAGGUCUCUAGAAGCUGGAAAAGGCAAGGAAAGAGUCUCCCCUCAAGCUCCAGCAGGAAUGCAGUCCUGACACCUUGAGUUUAGCCUAGUGAGACUUCUGACCUCCAGAACUAGAAGAUACAAGUGGUGUUUUAAGGCACUAAAACGAAGAACUAGAAGUAUUGUUUUAAGCCCAUAAAUUUGUGAUAAUCUGUUACAGUAGUAAUAGGCAAUGCAUACACAAGCACACAAAGUAAAAUUUUUCUGUGGUUAUUUUCCAUAUUUUUUCAGUUAUUUUCUGCCUUUUGAAGACAUUAAAGACAUAAAAUGAAUAUGUAUUAGUUUAGGAAUAAAAUUUAAAAUGUAGGAAUGCUAUAAAAGAAGAAAAAAUUUUAACUGGGCUAAAGCAAACCCAGUAUGUCAUCCUAUUACAUCAGCUUCUUCAUCUUUGGAUGAAGAGGUUGGUGACUGUUUCUUCUAAUGUGAGAAUAGCUCCAAAUUGCUAAAUUGUUCAGAAUUUGACAAGAUGAAAGAGGAAAGAAAAAGGAAAUCUUGAAAACAUUUACUGUUUCCUUGUUCAAUGGAUAACACAUGGAUUCCUGAUUGGGAGAUUUUUCCUCUUGCUUUGAUCUGAAGGCAGAAGGAAAUAUAUUCAUUAUUGUUUAAAAGAAUACAUUUUAACCUAACUUUAAAACAUUCAUGAUAUAUUUGUGAACCAUAAUCUUAUUACCCCAACCUAGAAGUUAUUUUGAUCACUAAACUUCCUUUUCAAUAUCUUCAUAUAUGUGUCUUUACAUACUUUAAAUAAAAAAUAUAUAAUUGUAUAACGUUUUAUUAUUUUAUUUAAUAUUUAUCACUUCUAAUAAAUAUAUGUAAAUAUGUAAACAGAAUUUAUGUAUUUUUUCAACAAACAUUUCAAACAUCUACCUUAUGCAAAGCAAUAUAUAGUGAAGGCAGAUAUAAAGUAUAAAUAAGUAUUCUCUAAUAUUGCCUCUAUUUUAAAAAAACUAAAUGUAUUGAGCAUUCUCUAUAUGCCAGGAACUGAACUAAGUAAUUUACUGUUAAUUUACACUAUAAUUCCAUGAAGUAGGUAUUAAUAUUAUCUCCAGGACUAAAGUGAGAUGAUUGACAUUUCUCUUUCCAGAUGAAAUUAGGUAAGUUAUCCAAGGUCAUGUAUCUAGGAAGCAAUAAAUCUAGGAAAUUCAAAUUUAUUGUUAAUUUUUCUAUUUUUUUAUGGAAUUAAGAAAAUGUUAUUUAUAGUUAAUGCUCUUAUACAGAAUUCCCUAUAUUUAACUUUUUCUUCUUAAAAUGACUUAUUUGAGUAACUAUGAGCCUUGGACAUUUUCAAUUUGGGGGCAUUCGUGGGAAUAUUGGCCUCAAAAGUAUCACUCCAAUUUAUAGUCUGCCUGUUAAUAUACCUUUUCCUUGCAAUCACACCAGUCAUGAGCUUUGUAAAAUAAUUAGAAUUGAAUAUUUUUCCAGAAGAUUGUUUAUAAGUUUUAUUUCCUUUUGAAUGAGUUCAUGGUUCUUAGCUUUUGCUUCUUUAUCUACUGAGUUCUAAGAAAACAUUUUCUCUUUGACUAAAAACAUUUUAUCCUAGGCUCUUUCCUCUCCUGCUCAAUAAGUUGCCAUUGGAACUCUGCAAGGAAAAAUUCUAAAAGUUUCAGUGGUGAAUAGAGCAUAAAUGAGAAAUUAAAGCAUUAAUAUUUGUUAGGAAGUAACUUCUCUUCUAGCACAAAAACAAUACAAAAUAUAUUAUUGUUAUCUUAUAAAUGGCAUUACUUAGACAGGAACCCAGCAAUUUUGGAGUCUACACAAUCAGAAGGAGCUACAGUGGGUCUUAUUCUUACCAAAUAGUAGAAGGUUAAUUCUUUUUCAUCCCUGAGAAUCUGUUUAUUCAGAAUGUAGUGUGCUUGAAUCUCCUGGGUUUGUCCACAGGUCAAAGUACCAAUAAUAGGUUUGAGGUGAAUAUAACUCUUGCUUGGGGAAAAAAAAUGCUUUGCAGUAUGAGAUGUUUGCGUAUGAAAUUCAUCAAGCCACCAGUUAUCAGAACAAUUGUUACUCUCUUUGUAUUUGACCUAAUGGAAGAAUAAAUAAGCUGUUUUAUAUAUAAUAUAUAUAUGAUUGCAAAAAUAUAUAAAAAUAUGCAUAUUAUAUAUGUUUGUAUAUAUAUACAUAAAGCAAUAUAAUAAAGCCAUAUAAGAAGGCUGCUUUCUUAAAUAUAGCAGAAUCUGUAAACUGAUUCCCCUCGAGAUCAUUUAAGCUUAUGCUGUACUGAUUUAGUAGAUGUUAUUCAUUCACAAACAAGGUCAAUUACUUUCUCUUAACACGCUAUGGCUGCAAAUUGCAUAAGAACAUUUGAAUAUUCAACACAAAACAAAAUAGUAGUAUGCCAAAGAAACCAAGCAAGAUCUUACUUGUAUUAGAAUCAUAAAAAUAUUCAAUUUUUCAAAGGAAUAUCAAGAUGAUCUAUUCAAUGUC